rnacentral:lncRNA from 1 species
GCCUUUGCACUGCCAUUAAAGCUAGCGUUCUGGGGAACAAGAUUAAAAUCCCACUCCACCUUAGCUUGCUCCUUAACGUUUGCAACAAGAAUCUUCCCAAUGGAUUCCAAUGCUGAUUUUAAUUCAGUAUUUCCGUAUUUUUGAAUUCUUGAAUGUUUUGAUGUCUUGUGGUUCUAUGUUGUGUUAAUUUAAUUAUUACCAUUUAUUCUGGGUUGUAGAAUUGGUUUCAUUGGUUGUUUUUCUUUUAAAUAGUUCUUUGAUCAAUAAAGUUUUAAUCUUUUUCCAAAAAAUUGGUGGAUUCAAUUACUGAUUGUUGUCUUGUAAAUUUCUACAUUUCUACAGCUUUUAAACACGCAAAGCCAAUAAGUUGUGCACCAAAGUAAACUUCUAGCUAGUUUAACUGUAGUAUUAAAUUUUGAUUGAUAGACGGAUAUCUUUUUUAAAAGGGGUGCAACACGAGGACUUCCCAAGUGGUCACCCAACUUAGUACUACUCUCGUCGAAGCACGCUUAACUGUGGAGUUCUGAUGGGAUCUGAUGGGAUCUGGUGCAUUAGUGCUGGUAUGAUCGUAUCCAUAUUCAUAUUUUCACGUUUUUAUGAUUAAAGAGUGAAUUGAUAUUUUCCUUUUAUAGAUAUUUUCAUCAAUAUUUUUGUAAAAUUAACACGUCGGUAUUUCCAUUAAAAUCUCGACAAUUUAAACAUUAUGUUUGACAAAUAAUUAUUAAAAUUCGGUUAGUGUAUUCCUUAGAAAAAUAAACUCAGAAAAAAAAAACUAUCGCUGGAAGGUAAACAUAGUUUGUAUAAUUGUGGUUAUCAAAUAAUAUUUAGUUCAUUCCUAAUUAUAAUUGUAUGCGAAGAUAUGUCAACCUAGUUAUGAUAUAUCUAAAUGGACCUCUUGCUCUUGAUCCAUAUUCCUUUUAAGUAUGUAUCAUCGUGAUUGAACUGAGAACAAAGAUUUAAUGUUAUAGUUAUUGCAUAUUCCUUUUAAGUAUGGAUCAUCGUGAUUGAACUGAGAACAAAGAUUUAAUGUUAUAGUUAUUGCUUUUGAAAAAAGAUUUAUGGCUCACUUUGACAAUUCAAACCCAUAUCCAACAAUUUAUUCAUUCUAUAUAUUCAAAAUCGCGUUGCACCAUUUCAAACUAUGUUAUUGACAACUUAUCUCAAUUUGAGUGUAUACUAAUAACUAUCAAAUUCGUUAUAAGUUUUGAGACUAACAAAAGCGAAGUGAAGACACAGUUAUACAAGGAGACACUAGUUUGAAAUUGUAGUUAUGCCCAAAUUUGAUUUUAAUUAAUUUCUUUUUUGACGUUAACUUUUUUUUUAGCUAUUAGGUAAUUCAAUCAAUUUUCUUUUACUACAAAACAUAAAUUAAUCAACCAGAAAAAAUCUUCAGCGAAUUGAAAAUUGAAAUAUAUCGAGUAUGAUAUACUUUUCGAAAAUAAUUCAUUAGACAAAAGAGGGAUCAAAGGUGCACUAAGACAUCUCAACUAACGAUAUAAAAAAUGCAAGCCACUUAAGCGAUAUAGAAGUAAGGUUAUUAAUUAAGUGAACUUUUGGAGAUGAAAGAGCAGCAAGAUUAAGAAUAUCUUCCCAAAUGUGACUGGAAGAUUUUCUACCACUUUUUAAAGUACGAUCAUUUCGCUCCAACGAUAAGCCCCACAACGAAGAAGCUCCAAUAAGGCAACCAAAUAAAGUGUUCCUCUGUGGUGUGUUAUAUUUAAGUUGAUGAAGUUUAAGAAGGACAUCCAAAGAAGAGGGAAGGAUAUUACCAGCAUCCAACAACAUGUAAAAGCAACACCAAAUAUCAUGAAAAUAAUUGCAAGAAAUGAAUAAGUGGUCAAGAGUUUCACAGUGACUCUUGCAAAGGACAUCAAUUUAGAUUGAGAUUGAGAGAGGGAAAUCUGAGUUGCCAUUUGUGGAUGGUGUUAAUAUCUUCAUGUAACAGAGCCCAAUUAAUGAAGAUUUUACAUUUUUUUGGAUAGAUUAUUACUUCAGACCGACCUGACAUUAAAAAAUAAUGUUGACAUUACCCGUUCUUGGCAUAAGAUAGCCUUCAAAGAGCUAAAAGAAAAAGCACCAUUUGACGUCAGGGACCAAGUAAGAAUAUCGGAGCAAUUCUAUUAUUCAAUGGAAGUUGGCCAAGCAUAAAAAAUGGAAGUUCCAGUCACCUGCUUUCUAUCCAAUAAUUGCCUUCUAAAGUUUGGAAGCCACCUCAAUAAAAUGGGUAUUUCACGCCUCAUGUACCGUGAUAUCUUUCUUGUCAGAGAUAACAUAAACAUGAGUGAAUUUUUGUUUUAGAAUACUAUUAUUAGAGGUCCAAUUCUUAAACCAUUAUCACAUUAGUUGAUCUAUACUUACUAAGAUAUCAUUAUGUGGGUGCAGUUGUUGAUUCUUUUUUUUCUUCUUGAUCUAGUUCGAGAGAUUAAUAAAUGCACCAAGUCAGGUUAACUAGAGUUUGACACAACCUUACUUCCCUCAUUAUAUCUCGAAACUAAUAGGGAUACAUUACUGUUCAAUCAAAACUAAAAAUUGUUUAUUUUAUUUUAGCGGUCAAUCAGACACCCGUAAAAAUGGUUGAUGAUGACAUCUAUUGAUUUUAAUUUAAAAUUAAAGAUGUGUUGGUCACUCUAUAUUGUCUCAGGCACGAGACAAUAUACUUCAUCUAUAUAUAUCUAUAUAUAUAUAUACUUACAUCUAAUUUAAAAUUGAAUUCUUAUAAAAGUCGUGCUAUUAAAUAUUAACAACUUUUAAUUUACUUCACACUACACCACUAUUAACAUUUAAGUUUUCAAUUCACUCGCGAAAUUUCAGAUAUCCCAACGCUGCUUUAACCCGUAUGGAGAAAAGGUGUUAAGAAAUAGGGUAUCUACAAACACCUAACAUAAUGUGUCAGCAUGAAGAGAGGCAAACUUCCGAUGCAGUAGCAAAGACGUCGGGAAAGCAUGGGCUACAUCCGAUGUCAUGCAUGCAUGAAUUGACAGAAAAUAAUCAUUUAAAUAAUGAUUGUGUUUAUCCCGACUCUAUGCAUGUAUGCAUUGGGAUUUGUAGGGCUACUCCUGACGUCGUACAUGCAUCCGUUGGCAGAAAAAAAAAUCAUUUUAAUAAUGAGUAUUAUGUUUAUCCUAACACCACGCAUAUGUGCGUUAGGAUUUGGAUGGGACCCUCCUGACGAAUGCUUUGGGAGUAGUUGGGAACUCCCAACGCGUAUCGUGGUGUGUCAGAAGUUUUCUCUUUAAAAACUCUCUUCCAGAUCUAGAAGAGAAAAGGAGAAGAUCAGAGAAGAACGAGAAAGUGCGCGAGAAUAGAAACGACCACCACCCGCCGCCCUAUGCCAUUGUUGUUCGUUGUGCCUCGGUCGUCGCCUUCUUCUUCAAUAACUAUAGAUUUUUGUUUUGUUUUUUUCCUCUUUAUUAUUUUUGAUUAACUUAAUAAAAUAAAAUUAGAUUUGCUUCUUGUAAUCAUCUGGUUGAUGAUAUUUGUGUUUGAUGCUUGACAAAUUUAGGUAGAUUUUUAAUUUUGCCCUAAAAUAACUUUGAAGGUUAAAAUCUCCCAAAAAUCACAUUGUUUUGUCGUGGAAUGUUGCAACUACACUUGAAAACUACAAUGUGCUUCAAAUUUUAGCAUGUUUGAAGAUCCUCGAAAUGAAUUUGGAAGCCACAAUGUGUAUUUGUUGCAAAACUAUAUUGCAAAAUAUGUCAAAUAAUGGUAUUUGUUCCAUGUUAUUAAUUUCAACAAUUUUGCUUAGAAUCUUGGUCUAUAUUGCAAAAUAGAGUACAUGAUAAUAUUUGUUCCAUGUUAUUAAUUUCAACAAUUUUACUCUACUAUUGGGCGUUGAGAAGUUUCAUAGUUUAAUUAAUUCCAUUGAUUUUAUUUCUUAAGAUAGUUGAAUCAAUUGACUUUCAUGUUUAAUUCCAAGUUACUAAGUGUAUUUUAAGAGUGACUCUAGAGUUGUAUCACUCUUACAGAGAUGGAGUGUCCCUAUUUAAUUUUAAGAUCCUAUGAGUGUUUGGAUUGAUUUUUGAAGUGUUUAAUUUUUAAAAUAAUUUAUUUUAAGGUAAAUUGUGGUGUUUGACACGGGUUUAAAAUAAUUUUUAGAAAAAUGAGAUUAUGAAAUAAAUCAUUCUAUAGAAAAUUACACAUGCAACCAAAUUUUAGAAUAAAUGUUUGUUUGGUGUUUGACGAUGAAUCUUUCCCAAAUAUCUAUUUUUCUUCAUCUAUUUUUUCUAUUCCUUUUUACUAUCUAUUUUUCAUUCUGUCGUCUUUUUUUAAUUUUUUAAAAAUAUUUUAAAUAUUUUUUCAACGUGUGUUCAUAUACAUUUAAAUAUAUAUAGGGAUUUACAAAUGUUUCGCCUUAACAUCUGUAAAAGAAAUCAUGAGAACGUCAAUGAAGAACAUGAUCGUUCGGUUCGUAAAAUGAAGAUGAAUGAAGAACGUGAUCGAAUUGAAUAUUUUUUUGUCUAGUUGAUAUUAUAUUGUCUUGAAAAAAUUAUUUAUCUUAUCUAUAUUCUGUUGAUGGAAAUCAAUUGUUUUUUUUUUUAUGGUUAUCUAUUUACAUUUGAUAUUUGUGCUUCUAAAAUUGAAUUGUCCAAAAAACAUUAAUACAAAAAAAAAUGAAAUUAACGUUUAGUUUCAAGUAACACUAAACAAUUAAUAAUUACAUGAUAACGUGUGAUUAGUUUUAAAAUAUAUUUAUAAAAAAAGAUUCAAAAUGUAUGUAUUAUGAAAUUAGUUCAUAAUGUUUAAUAGUCUUUUAUGUAAUUUAACUAAAUAUAAACAUGGUUAGUAUAGGAGAAACCAAACACAAUUUGCAUAUAAACAUUUAUAAAAAGGUCGAACCAAAUAUGUAAGUGUUUAGAUUUUAAACUCAUACAAAAAGGAUUUUUAAAAAAAUGUAUUCUUAAAAAAAUAUUUUAUUUUAUACACAAUCCAAACGGACGCUAAGUCUUUUUCCAUAAACUAUUUUUCUCUCUAUUUAGAUUAUUGAAUGAUCAAAUCUAUUAAAUCUUUUAGGUCUUUAACGAUGAACAAGAAUUAGAUCCAACUUAAAAAUAAAUUGCAUUAUAUAAAGACAUUGGCGUUGAGGUUGUUCUUACUCUCAACGCCAUAAUAAUCGCGUCAGGAGUUCCCUACUCCUUACACCCAUUCAUAACAGCGUUGGAAAAUCGUCUUCCAACAAUUCUAUAUGUAUUGGAAGAUCCUUUUUCAACACAUUUUAAUAUAUAUGUUGAGGAUGUUAUAUGUGAAGAGAGCUAUUAUUUCUUGUUCCAUUAGCAAUAUUAUUUUGUGAAGUCUCUUUGGAAUUUGUGGAAGUAUAUAAUACUCUCGUAUGUGUACACCACUCCCACUAACAUGCAAUAAUUAUAAACAUAAAUUAAUACUUUGUCACCCUAGCUUUGAAAUUGAAAUCAAGAUUCCUGUGAAUAUAAAUGAAAUUUAAAAGAUAAUAAGUAAUAUAAUGUAAUAUCAUAAUAAUGAUAUAAUGUACUAUGAUCCCAUAAAUAAGAGAAAUGUUAACAUGUCCUAGGAAACUUGACGACCACAUUUUACAUAUAAUUGUCACUAAUUGCUUAUAAUUAUUUAAUGUUUACAAUUAUUUUAUUGUCACUAAAAGUCUUAUUAUGACAUUUUUUUUAAAUAGUCCAUGAUUCUAUCAUAUCUUGAUAUGAUAGGGGUAGUUUUUAAAUAUCAUAAUAUAUGUUAAAAUUUAUCAUUGAUAAAUUAGAAGUAGAUUGAUGAUAUAUAAAAGUUUAUUAUUGAUUAUAGACUUUGUUAUAUAUUUACAAUUAAUUUUGUUAAAAUAUUGUUAUACAUUUAAUUAUUAUUCUUAAAAUUUUUACACAUACAAUUACCUAAUAAAUAAGAUGAUGUUUUAUCUCAAAAUUAGUUGAAUUUAAAAUGAAAUCUCAUGUUAAUAUAUUUUUAGUUGUUGGGACUUGUAUGUAUGUUUCACAUGUCUUAUAAAAAAUAUGUGUGAACUUUAUUACAAUAUUAUACUCUUUUGGUUUUGUAUAAUAAUACUCCAUAUUUACACCACUUCCACUAACAUUCAAAAUUUUCAAUAAGAAACAACAUAUAUAUAUAUAUAUAUAGAUUAAUAAUUUCCACCAACCAUUCAAAUUGAGUUUAAAAUUUUAAAUAAAUAGAAUAAAACGACAAAAUAUUUACACCGUAUUAGAACAAUUUCAAAAAUAGAAAAAAGUCUCAAUUAAUUGGCAUCCAACGCGUAAUAUAUUUGAAAAACCGUCAUCUAGUAUUUGCAAAACGAUCAUUUAGAUUUGAUUAUUCUUUUCUAGACAAUCGUUUAGAUUUGAUUGUUUAAAUUUGAGUUACCAAAUCUGAAUGAGUUUUUUUAAAGAUUCGUUAAGAUUGUUUGGUACCCUUAAAUUUGGCUAUACACGAUCAUUUAGAUUUGGCUAUCCAAUAUUCUAACGAUUGUUUGUACUUGCUUUGGGCUUGUCUCUAGCCCUUUGGCUUUGUUUGGGUUGUUCUCUUUGCUUCUCGUGUACUUGAUUUUCUAUAUUAAUGAAGCGGAGAUGAUGAGGGUACUAAGGGGAUGUCCACCUAGUGGAGAUGUCCGGGUGCAUCUACUGACCCAUCAUAUCGUAUCCUUCAUCAAAAAAAGAUAUUCCAACAAUUUUUUUCAUGAUCUAAACAACCAAAUAACAUUUUUUUAAAAAAAAAUCUUAUAUAUUAAUACAUGAUUUUGAACCAAAUAACGGUUUGAAAAAAAUAGAAAAUAAAAAAAUUGGAGAAAAAGAAAAAAAAAAUUGAAGGGAAAAAGAAAGACGAUGAUAGAAAAAAAGAAUAAUAUUACAGAUUAUAAAGAAGAGAGAAUAAAGAAUGAUGCAGAUAAAAAAUAUAUAAAACUAGACAUAAAUAAAUGGAAAUGAAGAUGAAAAAAUGGGGAAUAAGAGAAAGAAUCGAAAUUAAAAGAUCUUUAUAAACUAGUAAAGACAAAUAACCUUGACGAGCUUUUGUUGAAUGGUUGUAAUUGCCCUAAAUAUUUUUCUAUUUUAUUAUAUUUAUGAAAUUUCCCAAAUAAUUAUGUGGCAAUAUUUAUUGUAAGUACUUUAUUAUUUUGUACAGCUCUCCAUAUAUCAUUACACCACUCCCACUUAUAUGAAAGUUUACACAAUGAGAAGAAUAAAUUAAUAUUUUGUUCAAAUUCAAUUUAAGAUUCCCAAUUAUGAGAUUAUAUAUAUAAAAAAAAUAUUUAGUCCAAGAUUCUCAUAUAUAUAUAUAUAUAUAUAUAUAUAUAUAAUUAUGAAAAUAAUAACAAUGUAAAAUAAUAACUGCAAUGAGAUUGUAUAUUGGUAAAAAAAAGACGGUGCCUUAAAAAUGCAAGUUCUUCGUUUGGACAGUCAUCCAUGAAAAAAUCAACACAAUGGAUGUUAUCUAAAAGAAAAUAAAAAACUUCUGCCUGCUAAACCCAAACCGUUGUGUGCAUUACAAAUCCAACAGUAAAGACAUAUACCACUUAUUCAUUGACUGCCAAGUUUCAAAGGCCCUUUAGGAUAAACUACUAUCCCACAUUGGAUUAAACUUUGAUAGAGAGAGCACCAAAUCUUUUCUCUUUAUUCAUAUGCAAACUCAAGCAAACAGACAGAAAAAACACUAUCAGAUUCAAUGCCGGAGCGGCCCUUCUAUGUACGAUCUGGGUGGAAAGAAACAAUCAAAUCUUUAGAGAAAUCAAAAGAAGCACUGUGAACAUAUGGAAAGACGUUGGCCAAUCUGAUCGGUCUAUGGUUCAACAGGCAUAAAUCUUGUAGAACACUAUGACCCUUGCAGUAUUUCACUAAAUUAUAGAGCUUUAUUAAACUAAAAUAGGAUGUAUAGCCUUAGCUCUGGCCUUCCUUUCAUGUAACUCUGCUCUAUGUAAUUAUAUUUUGUGCUCAGUAUUAUAGGAUAUGCACUUUCUAUAUACACCUAGACUUACGGAAACACAUUGUUGCCAACUUUUGUAACGCAAAUAUAAAGUAGCGGAAACAACUUAUUAGAAACAAAAUCUAACCCAAUCUAUCAAAUCCUAGGAAAGACAUCUUUUGAUCUACUCCUAUGCUAAAAACGUUAAACUUCAUUGCCUUAGAGCCAUCCAUGAUCUUUUUAUUUGAAACUGACUGCAUUUUAGAAAGAUUUCCAAAAGAUGAGUACAAGUACUCCAUAAGCAAUUUCCACAUCAAGAUUUGAAAUUCAUUGUCUCAAAAGUUUUGUAAAUCAUAAAAUAAAUCAUUCUAGAACUUUUAGUCAAACUUUACUAAAAAAACCAUAUUUUCAAAACCAAAACUUUCGAGCAAAAACUUUUUUUUGAGACUAUUUCAAGAAAAAACUCUAAGGAUAGUAAUCUAUAGGUAGAUUUCCACCUGGGAAUCUUAAAUUGAAUUUGAAAGCUAGUGGCAAAAUAAUAGUUUAUUUUUCUCAUUUGAAAACUUUCAUAUUAAUGGGAGUGGUGUAUUCGUGGAGAAUUGUUCAAAAUAGAAAAGAACAUGGCCAUAUUGCAAACAUAAUAUAUAUAAUUUGGAAUCCUGAACUCUCAAUUUCGACGCUUGAUGGAAAUUAUUAACAUAUGUUGUUUCUAAUUGAAAACUUUCAAUGUUAGUGGAAAUGGUGUACAUAUGGGCUAUUAUAUAAAACCAAAAGAGUAUAAUAUUUGCUCAUAGAGUUUAAACACACAAAUUUUUAAUUAGACAUGCGAAACAUAUGUAUUUUCUUUAAGCACUAAUAAAAUUUAAUUUAGAGAUUUUCUCUUUUAAUGUAUAUGUUUAGUUCUCCAUUCAUCUAUACUACUUAUAUUUGCCAUAUAUCAUGCCAGAUUAUUGGAUAAAUGUCACAUUACCACUAAACGUAUUUUAAUUUCAAAUAUUACAAUGUAAUUAAACUAUUGAAUAGAAGAAAAUAAAUAAUAACAACAACAAUAAUAAUGUAGUAGAAAGUACUUUUUGAACUAGAGAUUCCAUUUAUGCUAAUACUAUAUAACAUAGUAAAUUGUGUUACCAUAUAUUGAAGAAUCUAAUUUUUUUAUUAAAAAAAACAUGCAUUUUCUUGUUAUUUCCAUAAAAAAAAAAUCAAGUCGCACCCGAAGAUUGAGGAAUGGAAACAUGCUAAAUAAUUAUGCGAGUCCCCAUCUUACGAAUGUUCAAAACUAAUUAAGCUGGGCAUAAAUUUGUGAUUAGGUUUUUAAAUAUGUGCCAGCUAAAGUCAUCACACAAUAUGGAAGAUGGAGUUGUCAUUAUUAAUGUUUCUUAUGAAUAUUUAAUUUUACUAUCAGUUUCGUUAUCGUUUUAGGCCACAUUCAUCUUCAAAAACUAAACCCUAUAAAAACCCUAGCACCCCUAUCUCCAAUUCUCACACACCCAAGCUAGCCCUCACUUAAUACUAAUUUAGCUUUUGGUUUCCAUUGAGCUUCAAAGACAUCAAACUAUAAUGGCUUCCAAAGCUACCGUCUCUCUUGCAUUUCUCCUUGCUCUCAAUCUUGUUUUCUCCUCCUUCGUUUACGCUGAGGCUGACAAGAAGUGCCCAAUAAACGCUCUUCAGCUCGGUGUUUGUGCAAAAUUGCUCGGGGGUGUUGUCGAUGUCGAGAUCGGCAAGACUUCUUGCUGCCCUUUGAUCGAGGGCCUAGUUGAUCUUGAUGCUGCUGUGUGCCUUUGCACUGCUGUUAAAGCCAAAGUGUUGGGACUGAAUCUCAACAUUCCCGUCGACCUCUCCUUGAUUCUCAAUGGCUGCAAUAAGAAACUUGUUGAGGGCUUCACAUGCUAAAUUAAUUUAUGACCAUCAUUUACUUUCGUUGCUAUUUCAUUGUCUAAUUUGUUUUCAAUUGUUCCAAUUUUAUAUUUCUUGCAGUCGUUUCCUUAAUAAGUUCUCACCUAUUGAUGAUUGUAUCAAUGAGUGACACUAUGUUAUAAAAUCAAGAAUUUAAUAUAUCAAUUCUAUGUUAUUAUUUUCAUAAUUCUUCCUCAGUAUUUAUUAAAAUGUUCUUUGUCAUCCAGUAAUAGGCGAUAAAUCGACAUUUAUGACUUUUCAUUAUUUCUCAAAUGAUAUUGUUUACUUUAACCAUAAUGAAAACAGAAAACAGAAAAGGAACGGUUUCUUUUCUUUGACAGUAUGUGAUAAGAAUAAUAUAUCAAAUAUUUUAUUUGAAAGUAAUAGCAUUGAUCGUCCAAGUUCAGCCAUUUUUCUAACCUUGACUAAUUAAAAAGUAAAGUUUUUUUUUAAAAUACAAAUGAAAUAUAUAUGACAUAAUAUCCUUUUAAAUAUGUAAAGAUCAUGCCUAAAAAACUUUUGAAGUCAAUACUUUUAUCCUCUUUUUUUUUUUAUAUAGUUUUUUUUUAACAGAUUAGACUAUUUCUCCAAAUUAUCAACUGCAAAAUUAGACAUGCAAUGAAUCAUAUACAAUUGGUGUAACACCUGCGCCUAUCCUCUCCAAUCCAUCCCGUUGCCUUCCACUGAUCGAAUCCCCAAUCAAUAAUCCUCCGUCAAAGUCUCGUCUUCGCAAACAUUGAGUUCAUUAGAUUCUGCAACUAUCUUCUAGCUUCUAUUUUAUCAAGAUCAUCAAGCUCCUUAAUCCAGGCUUUUUUAUUCUCCUCAUUCAAACCAUUUUUUCUUUUGCACCAAUCUCUGAUGGAUGAAGAUUAUACUUGUUUGAGCCUUUUCAUACAGGAGUAUCCAGAAUGACAAGGUCGGUAGGUAUUUUUCCACCAAAGCUCAAUGUUUUGCUUGAAUUCAACAUCUUGUAGAAAGACAUUAGUGAAUCUGAAUGAUGUGGGCCCAUCUCAAAAUUUGCUGUUUCAAGAACAAGGGGAAGUGAUAGAAAUAAUACUUUAUGCAUGCACUAUAUAUUUAUCUUUGUGGUAUACUGCUUUAUGUUUGUGGUAUGUGUAUGCAUGAUUUAAAAUGAAUUAAUUUUAAAUUUCAAUUUACUAAUUCCUAGUUAAUGGAAAAAAAAAAACAAAAAAACAAUGAGGGCUCCAUAAAAGUAGAAAAAGAAUGACAUAAUAUGAGCAAAAGAAAACGUGAAAUGAAGUAGAGAGAGAGAGAAAAAAAAAGGAAUGAAAGACAAGGACACACCAUGAAGAGAUAAAAAAUAAAAAAUAAAAUAAAACAAUAACAUAACUUGAAAGCGCAAGAAUGUAAUAUAAGUUCUCAUAAUUGACAAGGUAUUUUUAACAGGUUCAAUCUCAACUAUAUUGCAUUCUCUGUUUAAUGAUUUUACAUCUACCUUAUUUUGUUUUUCUUUUUAUAUUCAUAUGUGUUACGAUUAAUUUAUAUAUACUUCGAUUAAUCUUACAGAAGAAUUCGUUGAUCCUUACAACAAUUGUAACAUGUAUAUUUUUCAAUAAAGAUAUUAUAACAAAAAUGUUCAAACGUGAACAUUGUAAGCUUUUGCAACAUAUAUAAAAUAGUGGAAGCAACUUAUUACAAACAAAAUAUAAUUCAAUCUAUCAAAUCCUAGGAAAGACAUCUUUUGAUGUCCUACCCUAUUGCUAAAAACGUAAAACUUCAUUGCCUUGGAGUCAUCCAUGAUCAUUUAUUUGAAAUUGAAUUCAUUUUAGAAAGAAAUUUUCCAAGAGAUGAGUACAAAUAGUCCAUAAACAAUUUUUACGUCGAGAUUUGAAAUUCAUUCUCAUUCUGUAAAUCAUAAAACAAAUCAUUUUAGAACUUUCAGUCAAACUUUGCUGCAAAAGUAUAUUUUCAAAACUAAAACUUUCAAACAAAACUUUUUUGAGACUAUUUCAAGGAAAAACUCUAGGGUAUUAAUUGAUAGGUAGAUUUUCACUGUAGAUUAAACCUAUUUACCUUUUAACUAUUUUUUGAAAUUAUUUCUUUGUUUAGCAUUAGAUCAAUUCAUGGAAAUCAUUAAUUUAUAUUGUUAUUAUUUUUAUAAUUUCAUAUAUAUGAGAAUUUUGAACUAAUAAUUUUUUUUUAAAGUAAAAACUAGAGGUGAGAGAUUUUAACGCGACUAAUUAUUAUUGACCCCUACGCCAUAUAUAUAAUCUCUAUCAUAAUUGGGAAUCUUAAAUUGAAUUUGGAAGCUAGGUGGCAAAAUAUUAAUUUAUUAUUCUCAUUGGAAAACUUUCAUAUUAGUGGGAGUGGUGUGUGAUGAUGGAGAAUUGUUCAAAAUAGAAAAGAGCAUGGCAAUAUUGCAAACAUAUAUAAUAUAUAAUUUAGAAUUCUGAACUCUCAAUUUCAACGCUUGAUGGAAAUUAUUAACAUAUGUUGUUUCUAAUUCAAAACUUACAAUGUUAGUGGAAAUGGUGUACAUAUGGGCUAUUAUAUAAAACCAAAAGAGUAUAAUAUUGCUCAUAGAGUUUAAACACACAAAUUUUUAAUUAGACAUGCGAAACAUAUAUAUUUUCUUUAAGAACUUAUAAAAUUUAUUUUAGAGAUUUUCUCUUUUAUUGCAUAUGUUUAGUUCUCCAUUCAUCUAUACUGCUUAUAUUUGCCAUAUAUCAUGCCAGAUUAUUGGAUAACAUUAGUCUAAAAAAACAAUACAUGUCACAUUACCACUAAACGUAUUUUAAUUUCAAAUAUUACAAUGUAAUUAAACUAUUGAAUAGAAGAAAAUAAAUAAUAACAACAACAAUAAUAAUGUAGUAGAAAGUACUUUUUGAACUAGAGAUUCCAUUUAUGCUAAUACUAUAUAACAUAGUAAAUUCUUGUGUUACCAUAUAUUGAAGAAUCUAAUUUAAAAAAACAAAAAAACGCAUGCAUUAACCUUAAAUUUCAAGUAAUUGCUGCACCCAAAGAUUGAGGAAUGGAAACAUGCUAAAUAAUUGUGUGAGUCCCCAUCUUACAAAUGAUCAAAAUUAAUUAAGUUGACAUAAACAUGUGAUUAGGUUUUUAAGUAUGUGCCAGCUAAAGUCAUCACGCAAUAAUAUGAAGAUGGAGUUGUCAUUAUUACUGUUUCUUAAGAAUAUUUAAUUUUAUUAUCAGUUUCGUAAUCCUCUUAGGCCACAUUCAUCUUCAAAAAUUAAACCCUAUAAAAACCCUGAAACCCCUAUCUCCAAUUCUCACACACCCAAGCUAACCCUUACUCAAUACUAAUUUAGCUUUUGGUUUCCAUUGAGCUUCAAAGACAUCAAACUAUAUGGCUUCCAAAGCUACCGUCUCUCUAGCAUUUCUCCUUGCUCUCAAUCUUGUUUUCUCCUCCUUCGUUUACGCUGAGGCUGACAAGAAGUGCCCAAUAAACGCUCUUCAGCUCGGUGUUUGUGCAAAAUUGCUCGGGGGUGUUGUCGAUGUCGAGAUCGGCAAGACUUCUUGCUGCCCUUUGAUCAGUGGCCUAGUUGAUCUUGAUGCUGCUGUGUGCCUUUGCACUGCUGUUAAAGCCAAAGUGUUGGGACUGAAUCUCAACAUUCCCGUCGACCUCUCCUUGAUUCUCAAUGGCUGCAAUAAGAAACUUGUUGAGGGCUUCACAUGCUAAAUUAGUUUAUGACCAUCAUUUACUUUCGUUAUUAUUUCAUUGUCUAAUUUGUUUUCAAUUGUUCCAAUUUAAUAUUUCGUGCCGUCGUUUCCUUAAUAAGUUCUCACCUAUUGAUGAUUGUAUCAAUGAGUGACAUUAUGUUAUAAAAUCAAGAAUUUAAUAUAUCAAUUCCAUAUUGUUAUUUUCACAAGUCUUUCUCAAUAUUUAUCAAAAUGUUCUUUCUCAUCGAGUAAUGGGGGAUAAAUCGACAUUUAUGAUUUUUCAUUAUUUCUCAAUUGAUAUUGUUUACUUUCACCAUAAUAGAAAUGGAAAAGGAAUGGUUUCUUUUCUUUGACGGCAUGUGAUAGGAAUGGAUAUAUCAAACAUUUUAUUUGGAAGUAAUAGCAUUGAUUGUGCAAGUUUAGCAAUUUUCUAACCUUGACUAAUUAAAAAGUAAUAUAUUUUUUUUAAAAUACCAAUGAAAUAUAUAUGACUAUCAUAAUAUCCUUUUAAAUAUGUAAAGAUCCUGCCUAAAAAACUUUUAGUAAAUUGGUAUAAUACCUGCGCCUAACCUCUCCACUCCAUCUCGUUGCCUUCCGCUGAACGAAUCCCCAACCAGAAAUCCUCCAUCAAAGUCUCUUCAUCGCACACAUUUGUUUCCUCUGAGUUCAUUACAUUCGGCAACUAUCUUCUAGCUUUCUGCGGAAUCGACAACCCCACCCGUUUCUCUACCGUCGUCGCCACCUCCUAUACCGUCUGAUUUCACAAUUUCGAUUUCAUCUUCUCUUCCUUCAUCGCCUUCUUAUCCAUCUCUACCCUGCUACCGGUACUCCACCGGCCAUCAACUCCCGCACUGUUUUGCCGCCACCUCGGACAGUAUCCUACCGACAACCUACAGAUUACACCAACUUUCCCCAUUCAAUAUCGAACCGCCUACCUGUUAUCCAACUUUUUACAUUAGAAAGAAUUUUCCUAUCUAAACUACCUAGAAUGUUUAAAAUCAAAUAGUAGUUGGCAGUAGAUUUCUUUCUUUAUUUUUUUUUUUUUUUGGGUGGGGGGUUUGAGAUUAUUAUGUUUUGUUUUGUAAAAGAAAAUUGAUUGAAUAAGAUAAAAGUUAGAAACGAGAAAGAACGAUAAAAAGAAAAAAUAUCAUUAACUAAAAUUAAAUUUGGCGAUAAUGCUGAUUUCAAACUUGUUUCUCUUACUGUUAUUCAUCUUGCUCGUGUUGGUGUGGAUUAAAAAAAUAUUCACACAUUCGCUCAAAGCUAGAGUGAGAAUUUUUAUUAUUAGACAUUUUUUCUUACGAAAAAAUAAUGGAGGGGAAAUAAUGAGAGUAGAGUUGAAAUUAAAAUUAAAUUAAAUGGUUCUUGCAAAUCUUUUAAAGACAAUAAAUAAUUAAUGAACAAUAAAUGGCAAUCAUAAAAUAUCAUUGUCAUAAACUACUGUUUUCGUGGAGUUUACUAUGACAGAUUAUUAUGUCACUAAUUAACUCGUAGUACGUUAUAUUAUAUUAUUAAUGUACAUUAUUUUACUUUUUUUAAAAUAAAUUUUGAGCCUAACAUCAUAUCAAUAACAUGUAUUCCAUCUCAAAAUUACCAAUACUAUCAAUAUAAUAGGCAUGAAUUCUACUCUUCAAUUUUUGUUAAUGUGAGAUUCAUAAAAGACACAAUUAUUUACUACUGUACACUCAUAAAAUAUUAGAAACAAAUAAUAAAAGUAAAUAAAUGUGUAUUAUUUGCAGUACUUCGAUUCACUAAUAUCCUAGCGAUUUGCAUAUAAACUAAUUUAGAGCUUUCAUCUUCAAACUUGCCAGCUAAAAUCUCAAGAGACCACACAUGGAUCACCCAAAUAAUCAUAAUAAUAGAAUAUAAUUAUUGAUACCAUAUUAUUUAAUUCAAUUUCCACAAAUGAUAUCAUCUCUUCCAUCCUCACCCUCUCCCUCCCCUUCCCUAAACCCUAUAAAACCCCACCCAAUCUCCCCUUUUCUCCCACCACCAAUCGCUCCAAAUCCUUUCAACUUUCAAGAGAGAUCCAUCUUGGAAAAAGAAAAAAACCAAAACCCUAAUGGCUUCCAAAGCUACAGCCUCACUUGCUUUCCUCCUCUCUCUCAAUCUCCUAUUCUUCACCUUUGUCUCAGCAUGUGACAAUUGCUAUGUCCCUGCCCCACCCAAGCCCAAGCCAUGCCCUCCUACUAAACCAAACCCUCCAUCUAACUAUGGAAAGUGUCCUAAGGAUGCCCUUAAAAUCGGCGUCUGCGCCAAGCUUCUCGGCGGCCUUGUUGACCUCACCAUCGGCAAGCCCCCAGUGACCCCAUGCUGCACCUUGGUUCAAGGUCUUGCUGAUCUUGAAGCUGCUGUCUGCCUUUGCACUGCCAUUAAGGCCAGCGUUUUGGGGAAAACGAUUAAAAUCCCACUCCACCUCAGCUUGCUCCUUAAUGUCUGCAACAAGAAUCUUCCCAAUGGAUUCCAAUGCUGAUAUUAUAUAAUUAGCUUUUUCCUAAUCUUUAAUUCUCGAAUGUUUUGAUGUUGUACGGUUGUAUGGUUUUUUUUUCUUUAAAAAAAAAACUACUACAAACAAAUUAUUCUUGGUUGUGUUCAAACGUUCAAUAAAAGUUUUUCCUAUUGCUGAAUUCUGUUAGUGAUUCUUAUUUCAGCUUUGGCACACGCAAUCCUAAACCCUAAAAGUUUGAACUUCUAAUUUAGUUUCGUUUAAUGAUGCUAAGCACACAAAAAACUUGAAAGAAAAAAAAAAAGAACCAAAGUGUUUAUACAUUUUAUCCCACCAUGUGAUCUUAGAAAUAACAAAAGUAAACCAAAAUAUUUAUAAGAUAUAAUAAAAAUAUGUAAUCUCUAACAACCAUAAAUAUUGAUAGAAAUUUAUGGACAGACUAAUUUUACUAUAUUCUCUAUUAAAAACCUUUCCUAUGAUCUCUUCCUGUUGCCUUUGGUUUAUAUGACUAUAAAAACUCCCUGGUAUUAUGUAAAAUUCCUUUUAUCGAAUGAAUCAUUUUCUUUUGGAUAUGCAAUAGAUAUGAAUGUUAAGAUAGGUCAAUGUAGUUUAAAUAUUCCAAUGCAUUACUUACCCUUCUAUUCUCGUAGUAUUUUCUUUAACAAAAAUUACUCUUUUCUUACAUAGAACUGGAAUAACAUUUGUUUGUUUCAAUAAUACAAUAAUUAUCAUAAAUAAUCACUAAAUAGAUGUCAUUUAUAUUUAGUACAUGUGCCACUUUUUCUACCUCUCAUCUACAUUCUCGUGUAUUUUGAAAUACUAAAUCUAUAUAGUAUCUAUAUAAUUCACCUUAUGUUUACUAAAUUGCCAAUAAAUUGUGGCAUUUGAUAGGUUUUGUUAAUUCGUAAUUUACACGUGUUGUACAUCUUUUUCUUCUUCUUUUUUUCUUUUCAGUAAAUUGUGCACUUUUUUUAUGGAACUUUUCCUUAGCUCUCCUUUGGUUUUGGAAGGGAGCAAUGAAAAAUGUUAUGCUUGUGUUAACCUACUUUUUAGAUAUAUGGAUGUAGAUCUCUUCAUCCCUCCCCCUCUAGUAUUUUGUCAAGAAAACAAUUAACUUUUAAAAAUUUAAACAUUACACAAAUGUAGCAUUUAUAAAGAUGGAAAAAAAUGAACCAAAAUUCAUAUAUAUUACUGAGAGACAUGCAUAUCAAGUAUUUAUCCGUGUCUACUAUUGAUAGAAUGUAAAAUUUUGUUAAAUUUUGUCAACCGUGUCAUUUACAAUAAUUUUUCUACCAAAGAAUAAUUUUUCUAAUUUUGUCCUCAAGCUCUAGUAUGAGCUUACCAAACAUUGUUAGUUGUUUUUUAGGUUUAAAAUUAAAAUUUUACUUCACACGAUCUUUAUUAUUUUUUUGAAAAUAUAAAUUUUAACGAUAAUUCACUACAACCAAUUUUGGCUCUUUUGAGGCCGCAUGUUGUACGUGGAAGGUCCUCUUUCAAUGCAUUUCACCCAACUUCGACUGGAUUUUAUGUGGCGAAAGAUUCUUUUACGAUGUUGUUUCAUACAUCUUCUGACGUUUGUAUGCAUUAGAAGAACUCUCUUUUCUUGUAGCGAUUAUUUUUAAAAGCUACACAAAAAAAAACCAUUCAGCCAUUAAUUAAUUAAGGAAUUUGGAAUUUUACACAUUUCUCUUAGCUUUGUAUUUGUGUGUUUAAAAGAAAUACAGAUAAUGCAGUUGGAUUCAGUCUCUUUUGUUAGCUUUACUUGUUACAUUAUUUUACUUCUUAUUAAUUUUCAAAUUUCAUAUUUUAAAAAUGGCUACGCCACGUAAACUUUUCAAGUGAUGGAAUCCCCGAUAUGAUUACAUUCAUUUUUCAAAUUUCAUUAAAUCUCAUAAUUAAUUGGGGAAUCUUGAAUUCAAUUUCAAAUCUAGAGGGCGAAUAUUAAUUUACUCUUGUCAUUGUAAACUUACGUGUUAGUGGGAGUGUUGUACAUAUAGAUAGUAUUAUACAAAACUAAACCAAACCAAAAGAGUAAUCAAAAUAUUGCAAUUACAUAAUCUGGAAUAAUCUUGAAUUCAAUUUCAAUGCUUAGUGGAAAUUAAUUAAUUUAUCAUGUUUCUUAUUGAAAAACUUACAUGUUAGUGGGAGUGGUGUAGUCUACAUAUGGAAUAUUAUAUAAAACCAUAAGGGUAUAAUAUUGCUAUAGAGCUUAAUUAAAGACACACACAUAUAUUCUUUAUAUAAGAUAUGUGAAACAUAUCUCUUUUUCUUUAAGGAACUUUUUAUUAAAAUUAAUUUUAUCGAUUUGAUUCUAUUAUACACAUUUAAUUGGCCAUUCAUCCCACUACUUAUUUAUUUACCUUGUCUAUAUUCCAAAAUUAUUGAAUGAACCAUUUUUCUUUUUAUUCCAUAUCCCAAAAAAUCUGGAUCAAGUCAACAUUUUAAUUUCAAAGUAACUAUAUACACCCAAAGAUUGAGGGAAGAAAAAAUAGGAAACUAUAUUCCCCAUCUCAGAAACGUCCAAAAUUAAGUUGGCAUACAUUUCUGAGGUUUUUUUAGAAUGAAAAUACUUUAUAAAGCCAAAUUCUUUUUUGGCAUAAAAUACUUUAUAUGUUGGCAUGAACUUCUGAGCUUUUUAAAUAUAUGCCAGCUAGCUAAAACCAUCAUACACAUUGAGUAGAUCAUCGAUGAUGGAGUUAUCAUUAUCUUUGCAAAAUACAAUUUUGAGUUUUAAGGUUUUUUCUUUCCUUUAAUACGUUGAAUUUGUUCUUAGGGUAACACUCUUGAAAAUUAAGUUAUUUACGUCUUUUUCAUAUUCAUGUUAACGUUCAUGACCCUAGGAAUUUAGAAAGCAACUCUCAAAAUCCUAGAGGUGUCUCUGAUUAUGCAAUUUUUGUGUAUUAUAAUUUUCUAUACUAAAUUAUUUUGUUCUUUUCUUUACCCAAGAUCGUACUUAAUAUACUAUAAUUACUUAAUAUACUAUAAUUGAACCACAUAAAUUUAUUUGUUCAUUUUCUAUUUUAUUAUUUAUUAUUUGUUAAUUUCAUAACAUCGAUUUUUAUAGAUCACAUCCCUUGAUUUUCAUAAACUAAACACUACAAAACUAUAUGGUGAUGAUUGAAAAUAACGUAAAUAACAUAACUACGAAUAGAUAUAAUUUAUUUUUUAAGUCGUUCGAAGCAUAAUUAGAGAACAUAUUCAAGGUAUUUUAACAAGUUCAGAAAGACAUUUUAACAAGUUUGGAGAGAAAGAAAAAACAGCACAGUGACAUGAAUCUUGUCCAAAUUUACUAUAUUGAUUAAAUGCUCCUUGCCUUUCCUUACAUUACCAAAUUAAAUUAUCCAUGGAGCAGGAAUAUGUCAAAACUGGCCCAUUAUAGUAUAGAAUUUUAAUCCUUAAACAUAUCCUAACUUAGAAAAGUAACUUUUCCCCACUUAAAUGAAAAGUAACUUUUCCCCACGUAAAUGAAGAAGAUAAUGCAACGUGGAAAACUUUCUUAGAGAUCUAUGAAAUCUCAUGUGAAAAGUAAAAAAAAAGUGAAUAUAUUUUUUAUGUACAAAUAAACCACUUUAUUAUGAAAAUCAUGGGUGAUCAAAAUAAGAAGAAUUUCUCCGUUCUUAGACCAAAAUUCUUAAUAAGUUCAACACUUUUAUCCCACUCUUUUAGGAGCUAUGUGUUUACUCUAUCCCAAAGGUCAUCUUCCCCUGAAAAAUAUUUAGAUGAAUCUUUAAUUGUGCAACCCACUCAAUUGUUCAAUCCUAAAUUGUCAUGUGAUAAAUUCUCUUUUUCUUCUUUUCAAAAUACAUUUUACUUCUUUUCUUUAGUGUGGAGUUAGUGUAAUGAUAUAAAGAUGAAAGUACUUGAAUAAUAAUGCAUUUAGUCGAGAUACUGGGGUACUGCUCCAAAGUAUUUAAAUUCCAUAUUAUUAAUUAAGCGAGGAUGAUGAGAGUGCACUAAGGGAAUAUCCAUCUGGUGUAGAUGUUCGAGGUACACCUAUUGGUCUAAAGUAUCUAUUUAAAAAAAAGUUGAAGAAGAGUUAUGUAUCAAAUACUACUAUUCAUGGCAUUCAAAUGAGCUUAUGCAACUUUAAACCAACCAGCUACGAAAUAUCAAAAAGAUUGCCUAUCAUAUGAGAGUUUGCCUAUCAUAUACAAAUUUCUAUUGGUUAGUGGUAUGAUCAGACAUUAUAUUUUCAUUUUCACAAAUAAUAUUCUUUUAAUUAUUCCUCUCCAUCCCUUUCCUAAACCCUAUAAAAUGCCAUCCAAUCUCCACAGUUUCUCCCACCACCAAUCCCUAAGCUUUUCAAAAAAAAAAAAAAACCCUGAUGGCUUCCAAAGCUACAGCCUCUCUUGCCUUCCUUCUUUCUCUCAAUCUCCUUUUCUUCACCCUUGUCUCAUCAUGUGACAAUUGCUAUGUGCCUGCCCCACCAAAGCCCGAGCCAUACCCUCCAUCUGAUUAUGGAAAGUGCCCUAAGGAUGCCCUUAAAAUCGGUGUUUGCGCCAAGCUUCUUGGCGGCCUUGUCGACCUUACCAUCGGUAAGCCACCGGUGACCCCAUGCUGCACUUUGGUUGAAGGGCUCGCUGAUCUUGAAGCUGCUGUCUGUCUUUGCACUGCCAUCAAGGCUAGCGUUUUGGGGAAAAUGAUUAAAAUCCCACUCCACCUCAGCUUGCUCCUUAACGUUUGCAACAAGAAUCUUCCCAAUGGAUUCCAAUGCUGAUUUUGGUCUCUCUUUUUUUCAUUAUGGAAUUCUUUGAGUGUGUUAUGAUGUUUUUGGUUCUAAAGUUGUCUAAGUUUUAGACUUUAUUUCAAAUUGUUGUAUGUUAUGUUUAAUUUUCUUCAUUGGAGCUAUUCUUUUUGGAGUUGAAAUGUUUCAAUAAAAUUUUUUGCCGUAUUGGUGAAUUUAUGAUUUUUAGUUUUGCAUAUAUAUAUUUGCUUUCUUAUAAACAUAUUGAGAGAACCAGUGGAAGACAACGGAUGACAAAUCUUUCUCAUAUUAAUUAAAAAACUACUACAUUCUACAACAUUUUUUUCUCUAGCUUUUGAACAAGUUUUGUUAUAUAAAACAAUUAUUUUUAGAAAAUAAAUCAUUUCAAAAUCUUAGUUUAGAACUAUAUAAAUGUAAAACAUAUUUAAAGAACAUUUUCAAUUAACCUUAAUUUCUCAAAUUUAAAUUGUUACGAAAUAUUAUAUGUGAGAUGAGAUGUCUAAAAUGAUAAUUUAAAUGAAAAAUUAAAUAGAUAAAAACCUUAAUAUUUCUAAUGUAAAUCAUCCAAAAUAAUUACUCUUAUAUUCAAGAAUAAGGGUAAAAUUCAAAUUUGUUGUAAGUUUGAUCUUAUGAAAAUUGUUAGUACUUAAAUUGGAAUAAUGGUUCAUUUCAGUUUUAUGUAAUAAUUAUUUACUCUACCAUGAAGUAACAAAAUAUAAUAUGAAAUUUAAUCUGUAAAAAUUAUAAAUAAUUAAAAUGUUAAAAUUUUAAAAUUCGAAUACUAAAUAUCAAACUAUAAUAAUUAAAAUAAUGUCUGAUUAACUUGGUCCCAUUACCAUAUAUGGCUUAAAUUUAUCAAGCCUGGAUACUGGCUGCACUUUUAGGUUUAAAACUAAAAUUUAAUUAACUUGGUAUCUUGCUUUCUAAAAGUAAAUUUCUCAUUGAUUAUUUUAAAAACCAUAACACAUCUUUAAUAUUGUGAAAUGUUAACCAAAUUUAACCACACUUUUUUAUUUUCACAAUAUUUUAAGUGGGAGAUCGGAAUUAAAAGGUCUGCCCUCGAUAAUCUCUACUAGGUUGACAUAAUUAUCUUUAACACUAGUCAUCGUCAAUCUUUCAAACCUAUACAAAAAAAUGUUAUUAUAAAAUAAAGAAAUUCGUCCAGACAAAGGAGAGAGUAAAGGGAAAGCUUUCCAAUAUAAAGCAUAAGGAUAUAAAUGAGUAACAGAUAAAACAAGAUUAGAUCAGCUCCAUUGAUCCCAUGAACAAAAGUAUGUCUUUACACACGAUUGAUAAAAUGAUCAUAUUUUAAUAUAACUUUUGAAAAGAGAUUGAUCAGACGGGAGUCAAUAAGUGCAUUCAAACAUCUUCACUGAACGGAUAUACCAUAUUGAUAAAUUGAUCACAUUCUAAUAUAUUUUUUGAAAAGAGAUUGAUUAGACUGGGAUCAAUAAGUGCAUUCAAACAUCUUCACUGAGCGGAUAUACCAUGAUAAAAGAAGAUUAUAAUUAAUCACAUUAUUAAUUAGAGGUAAGAAAAGUUUAAUUUGGUUUGCUUUGAUAAUCGAUUUAAAAAAAUGAUCAUAUCUCUGUGUUUUGUAACAUAUGAAACUUUACAAAAUAAUUUUAUAUUUUUAACCUUUUGACAAUUGUUUAAAACUCAAUAUAACAUGAUAAAUGGAAAGUUCCAAAUCCUAAACUUCUAAAAAAAAAUGAACAUCUAUGUUUCAACAAUGUGCUAUUCAACAAUGUGCUAUUGCUCAAUUUUAUGAUGCUACGCUAUUUUUUUUUAUUUUUCUAAAGAAAAAUUACACCUAACAAAUCAAUAGAUGCUUUAGAAUAUCUCUAUUGAACAUUGACGUCUUCUUCACUUCAAAAUAUAUACUUAAUAGAGAUUAAUGAAGUUCAUGAUUUUAUAUAUAAGUACAUGAUUGAGAAUCUUUGGUUGAAUUAUUUCAAAGCUAGAUGGCAAAAUCUUAAUACAUGCAUAUUAUUUUAACAUAAUUAAUUAGGAAUAUAAUCUUCAAUUUCAAUUUCAAUUUCAAUGCUAGCUAGAUGGAAAUUAUUAAAUACUAAUAAUAAUGUUGUUUAAUUUGUUGUUGAAAACUUACAUGUUAGUGGGAGUGGUGUAAAUAUGGAGUAUACUAUUAUACAAAAACCGAAAGAGAGUAUAAUAUUUGCAAGUGAAUUUAAUUAAACAUAUACACACACAUAUAUGUUUAUAAAUAUAAGACAUGUGAAACAUCCUAUCUCUCUUUUCUUUAUGCAACUUAUCAAAUUUAUUUUAUAGACUCUAUUUUACAUCUAUAAUUGUCCAUUAAUAUUCAUAUUAUAACUACAACUAAGUCCAGCCAAAUUAUUGAAUUACAUUUAAUUUGUUCAAUAUAUGUAAGCAUAGAAGAUUUUCUUGAACAUACUUCUCACGAAUAUAGAGAAAUUAAAUUGGUAUAUUCCUAUAACAGAUCAUAUAUACAUUAUUCAAUCUCCCCCACACGUUAGUUCUAAUGUUAUCACUUAUUAUUAUUAUUAUUUUGGUACAAUAAUUUGCAUGAUGAUUGACCCCGAACCAGAGAAAAGGAUAUAAAAACUAUAUUACCACUUGAACUAUUAAGUACAAGGGGGAAAAAAUAACUCAACACCUGCAACAUUAUUUCUAGAGCAGGGAGGUUGUGUAGCAAUUUUAAGAACAAUAAUUUAAGUAUAUAAUGAAUAUUUUUCAAAAAAUACAAAUAUAACAAAAUCUAUUAACAAUACUUUUAUGAUUUUCCAUUCAUAAAUUUUGAUAAAUUUUGCUAGAUUUACCAUUUUUUAAAAUGAUUUUCCAUUCAUAAAUUUUGAUAAAUUUUGCUAGAUUUACCAUUUUUUAAAAUGAUGCUAUGCAUACUAAUAUUUUCAAUCUAAUUAUUAUAUUUACAAUUAUUUUAAUUUUUUUAACAAAAUAAUAAAAGAGUGAAAUUAAGAAAUGCACCCAAAUAUCUCAAAUAUGUUUGACAUACCUUACCUUCUCAUCAAACCUUGAAAAUUAUUCUACUCUAUGUUAAAUCAUUACAUGGCCUAGGAACCUAAGAAUCUAAGAAAACAAGAACACAAUUUCCUUUUAUCCCAAAUCCCAAAAAAUCUUAAUCUCAAGUCAACAUUUAAUUUCAUAAAUUUGUUAUGUAUCCGAAGAUUGAGGGAAGAAAAUAUGGGAAAUUCCCCAUGCCAGAAAUGUCCAAAAUUAAGUUUGCAUAAACUUCAGAGCUUUAGGAAUUAAAAUCAUCACACAUGGAUGAUGGGUGAUGGGUGAUGGAUGAUGAAGUUUAAAUUAUUAGAAAAUUAACGAGAAUAUAUCAUAAUUUUCAUAUUAUUCUUCAAUAUUUUGUAUAACUUCUUCCUAUAAGGCUUGACACAAUUGACUUUUGAUAAAGAACACAAUUGCGUGAUGAAACUAUUUUGAGUAUCCUUGAAGUUUCGGUUUGUUGCGUUGGUUCCAAAUGAUCCAUAAGGUAGCAGGAAGCAACCACACAUUGAAGCGGAUGAUAUCUUUGGUGUUGAAAGAACGAUGGUGACAAAUAUUGGAGCAAAGAUCUCGAAAUGCUAUCAUUUUCAUUAAACCACCGCAAUCAAAGUUUAAACCUUCUCUAUGGUCUAACUGUCUACUUUCCAUUAAUAAUGUUAAUAAGGAGAAAAACAUCAAUAAACUCACAUGUUGCAAAGUAUAAAUUACAUUUGUGUAUGAACUUGAUAUUAAAUCAUCAAUUGAUCCAAAAACUUAAAUGGAAAAGUGAAGGUAAAUUUAAUUCUACAUCAUAUAUAUCAAACACUAAAUUCUAAACUUUCACAAACUUUCACAUGUGAAUCAUUACAACAUCAUAGAUGAGUUCAUCUAAUUUACUAAUAUAUAGCUCUAAUUUGAUCAAUCUCACAUUAGAAAUGUACCAAACUUUGCAUGAUUAAACACAACAAUACAACUGGCACAUAAAGAUAUAUAUCAAGAUCAGGUCAGCACACACAUGGGUUACCUAUCAUAUCAUAUACAAAUAUCUAGUGGUUAGUGGCAUCAAAAAUAUUUUAAAUUUCACAAAUCAUCUUUUCUUCCUUCACCCUCCCUUCCCUAAACCCUAUAAAACCCCACCCAAUCUCCCCUUUUCUCCCACCACCAAUCCCUCAAAAUCCUUUCAACUUUCAAGAGAGAUCCAUCUUGAAAAAGGAAGAAAAACAAAAACCCCUAAUGGCUUCCAAAGCUGCAGCCUCGCUUGCUUUCCUCCUCUCUCUCAAUCUCCUAUUCUUCACCUUAGUAUCAGCAUGUGACACUUGCUAUGUCCCUGCCCCACCCAAGCCCAAGCCAUGCCCUCCUACUAAACCAAACCCUCCAUCUAACUAUGGAAAGUGUCCCAAGGACACCCUUAAAAUCGGCGUCUGUGCCAAGCUUCUUGGUGGCCUCGUCGACCUUACCAUCGGCAAGCCCCCAGUGACCCCAUGUUGCACCUUGGUUCAAGGACUUGCUGAUCUUGAAGCCGCGGUCUGCCUUUGCACUGCCAUUAAGGCUAGCGUUUUAGGGAACAAGAUUAAAAUCCCACUCCACCUCAGCUUGCUCCUUAACGUUUGCAACAAGAAUCUUCCCAAUGGAUUCCAGUGCUGAUUUUAGUGUUUUUUCUAUUCUUAAAUUCUUUGAGUGUGUUUUGAUGUUUGUGGUUCCAUAGUUGUCUAAGUAUUAUAACUCAUUGCAAAGGG